rnacentral:rRNA from 1 species
AGAUUGAACGCUGGCGGCAUGCCUUACACAUGCAAGUCGAACGGCAGCACGGGAGCAAUCCUGGUGGCGAGUGGCGAACGGGUGAGUAAUAUAUCGGAACGUGCCCAGUCGUGGGGGAUAACGCAGCGAAAGCUGUGCUAAUACCGCAUACGAUCUAUGGAUGAAAGCGGGGGAUCGCAAGACCUCGCGCGAUUGGAGCGGCCGAUAUCAGAUUAGCUAGUUGGUGGGGUAAAAGCCUACCAAGGCGACGAUCUGUAGCUGGUCUGAGAGGACGACCAGCCACACUGGAACUGAGACACGGUCCAGACUCCUACGGGAGGCAGCAGUGGGGAAUUUUGGACAAUGGGCGCAAGCCUGAUCCAGCAAUGCCGCGUGCAGGAUGAAGGCCUUCGGUUGUAAACUGCUUUUGUACGGAACGAAACGGUUCUCUCUAAUACCAGGGCUAAUGAACGUACCGUAAAGAAUAAGUACACCGGACUAACUACGUGACCG